UACGGAAGGCAGCAGUGGGGAAUAUUGCACAAUGGGCGCAAGCCUGAUGCAGCCAUGCCGCGUGUAUGAAGAAGGCCUUCGGGUUGUAAAGUACUUUCAGUCGUGAGGAAGGUGUUAAGGUUAAUAACCUUAGCAAUUGACGUUAGCGACAGAAGAAGCACCGGCUAACUCCGUGCCAGCAGCCGCGGUAAUACGGAGGGUGCGAGCGUUAAUCGGAAUUACUGGGCGUAAAGGGCACGCAGGCGGUUAAUUAAGUUGGAUGUGAAAUCCCCGGGCUUAACCUGGGAAUGGCAUUCAAGACUGGUUAGCCAGAGUCUUGUAGAGGGGGUAGAAUUCCAUGUGUAGCGGUGAAAUGCGUAGAGAUGUGGAGGAAUACCGGUGGCGAAGGCGGCCCCUGGGACAAAGACUGACGCUCAUGUGCGAAAGCGUGGGGAGCAAACAGGAUUAGAUACC
rnacentral:rRNA from 1 species